CUCCCAGUAGCUCAGCGGAUAGAGCACCGUUUUGACGAAGCGGAGGGCGAGGGUUCGAAUCCCUCCUGGUCUU
rnacentral:tRNA from 6 species